rnacentral:piRNA from 1 species
UAGAUAGGACCUGUUGGGAAUCGUGCCAU